UGCGUGAAUCUGGAAAUGUUCAUUUACAGCAAGUGUAACUUUUGGGUGCAGGGAAAAUAGAAUUACUCCACCAUUCUUGUAAUCGACUAUUUUGUUGCUUAAAAAGAUGAUGUUUUGCUUCAUUUCCGGUGACCAAAUCAUAUAGUUAUAUGGAUCUUCACACAUCCUGAUUACGUUGUUGCGGAUGCUUAAGUUUUAUGUCCUGGUUCUACAGUUCAGGAGGAGCCGGUGGUGGAACCAUAGCCAAAGAUGCACUUGGAAACGAUGUCAUUGAAGCUGCCUGGUGACAGAACACUCACCCAGGGGUUAAAGGGAGACCCAACUUAUCUUGUGGUGGAGAAUGACAAGACUUUGGCAACCUACGGCAUCAAUGCAGUGUGCACCCACCUUGGCUGUGUUGUUCCAUGGAAUGCUGCUGAGAAGAAGUUUAUUUGCCCUUGCCAUGGAUCUCAGGAGGACAACCAAGGCAAGGUUGUGAGAGGCCCUGCACCCUUGGUUGUGUUUGUGCCCUGGGUGGAGACAGACUUCAGAACAGGGGAUGCGCCAUGGUGGGCUUAAACCAUCACCAUUGCCUUCAUGUUCAUCUGCAACUCCAACACUAAUUUGUCCAUCUGCAAUCUAUACAUACAUCUGCUGUACCAUCUACAAACACUUGCUCGUGUAAUUUCCAGGUGAUCUUGUUCUGUGAACAUCACCAAAUGCAAUACAAGUUUGGAGAUUGGUCAUGCUUCUCUGUUCAAUACAUUUUUGCCUUGUCCUGUGUUCUGUUUUUUGGGAUGCAUAUCUGGAUUUCAUCCUUAUUUGAGAGGAGAAAUCUCCAAUUGAAACUUGGAUCAUGCUUGAAGAAUUUUGGUAUGGAUCCUCAAAGGCACUGUUAGAAAUCCCAAGGAUUGAAAGAA